rnacentral:lncRNA from 1 species
ACCCCCCAGGCCCCUAAUUUGCAUAUGCAAAUGAGCCCCGGGGGCCGGGGCCGCUCACCCGGCGCCGCCGCCGCUCUCCGCAGCGACCCGGAAGUGAACCCGGGGCCGACUUCCGGUUUCCGCUGAGAGAGGGCGGAAGUGACGCCAACUCCGGGCGGAAGUGCCUCCCGGAACGGCGUCGCGGUGCUGGCAGCUCUUAAAGGCGCCGCGUCCCGAAUUUUUAGCCCCGCCCCCUCCCCCUGAGACCCCCCCCAAACCCCUCAAAAACGCCGAAAUCGCCCCAAAAAUCCCCCCUCCCCCCCCCCAACCCCUAAGAAAAAGGCGGGUUCCUCGUGGGCCGUUUUUGGCUGUUUUUCACCCAAAAAAGAACCCGGGGGGGGAGAGGGGGGAGGGGGCGGGGUCAGGGGAGGGGGCGGAGUCUGUUAAAUAAGCGGGGGCGGGGCCAGGCGGCUGUCAAUCAAAUGGGGCUGUCAAUCAAACGGGGCUGUCAAUCAACGAGGCUGUCAAUCAACCCGGGCUGUCAAUCAAGUGGAGCUGUCAAUCAAACGGGGCUGUCAAUCAAAUUGAGCUGUCAAUCACCGGCUGCUGUCAAUCAGGGGCUGUUAUUUGAUGAGCUGUCAAUCAAACGGAGCUGUCAAUCAAACGGAGCUGUCAAUCACGCGCUGCCUGGAGUGUCGAUCAAGUGGAGGUGUCAAUCAACCCGGGCUGUCAAUCAAAUGGAGCUGUCAAUCAAAUGGAGCUCUCAAUCAGGUGGAGCUGUCAAUCAGCCGGGUCUGUCAAUCAUCCGAGCCGGUGUUAGGGGUCAAUCCGAGCUGUCAAUCACAGGCGUCAGUCGGCCAAUCAGAGGGUGAGGUGGGGCUGUCAAUCAAAGGGGAGAGCUGUCAGUCACGGGGAGCUGUCAAUCAAAGUAAACUGUCUAUCAAGAGGGCUGUCAAUCACAGCUGUCAAUCAAACUGAGCUGUCAAUCAAAGGGAUACCAAUCAAAUGGAGCUGUCAAUCAAACAUGACUUGUCAAAAGGAGCUGUCAAUCAAAUAGAGAGGCCCAAUAGAGCUGUCAAUCAAUUCUAUCAAUCAAAUUGAGCUGUCAAUCAAACCUAUCCCUAGAACUGAGCUGUCAUUCAAAUGGAUAUCAAUCAAAUUGAGCUGUCAAUCAAAGAGCUAUUGAUCAAAUGGAGCUGUCAAUCAAAUAUAUCAAUCAAAUUGAACGGUCAAUCAAACAUAGAUCAUCAAAUUGAGCUGUCAAUCAAACAGCCAUCACUCCAAGGGGGCUGUCAAUCAAUUCUAUCCACCAGAUUGAGCUGUCAAUCAAACCUAUUCAUCAAAUUGAGCUGUCAAUCAAAGGGAUAUCAAUCAAAUUGAGCUGUCAAUCAAAGAGCUAUCAAUCAAACGGAGCUGUCAAUCAAUUCUAUCCUUCAAAUUGAGCUGUCAAUCAAACACACGGCAUCAAAUUGAUCUGUCAAUCAAGCAGCCAUCACUCCAAUGGGGCUGUCAAUCAAUCCUAUCCAUCAAAUCGAGCUGUCAAUCAAAGCUAUUCAUCAAAUUAUGCUGUCAAUCAAAGGGAUAUCAAUCAA